rnacentral:lncRNA from 1 species
GUCAAUGUUUGUGUGUGUGAUUUUUGUUUUAAUUGUUUUUGUUUUUAUUCUCAAAUGAAAGUACCCUGCCAGUAAUCAUUGGUGUUUUGGGAAGACAGCCGGAAGCAGUGCCGUCUCCGUACCUUGGAGUGAAUGGGCUUUAUGUCCAGGCAGCCAUCUGUGGAAGUGGGAGCCUGGAGCCAGAUCUUGAAGCUACCUGUGCAUGCUAGAGUCAUUUGUGGCUUGCCCCGGAGUUCCUUCUUCACCUCUCAUCCAGAUUUGGCUUUGUCUGCCCUUCUACUUUUGGAACAGCCACUUCCUCUAACCAGGCCCAUGUUGCUUCCACCGGGGAUGCUAGACCUGCAAUUGUUUGAAGAAACUCCACACCUGAUCUCCAACUGACAGGAGGAGGGCUUUAUCAGAAUGUCUGAGAGGGAGAGACAGAGAUUCUGCUCCCUCCAUCUCGUUAGCCCUUGCUGAGCCAGAACAUGAUUUGAAGCAGAAAUGGAAGGAAAAGCAGUUCUUGCAAUGCCACAGAGACAGAGUGCGCUACCCCAUCAGACCAUAAGUUGGACAUUCCAUGGCGUCACAAAAACUAAUUAAUACUAAAGUUAGUACUUACUCUGCCUUUCUUAUUUUCCCAGGAGGAUUAUUGUGAAUAGGCUUGCCUUCUAGACCACUCAGAAUUUGUAUGUUGACAAAAUAUUUCUCCUUUUGACAUGUGAGGAGAUAUAAAAUGUAUGAAAACUCACAUCAUAUUAUUUGACGGGGCAUUCCAUUUCGUCAGUUUGUAUUUUAUACUUCAUUAUUUUAGGGGUAAACAUCUAUAAAAACAGGUUCUGGAUUGUCGCUAGGGUUUGGUUCAUGCUUAGAGUUUUCUUAACAGCGUUCCUGUUGUUGUAUAGCUUUAAAAUUAGAUGAGAACAAAAGUUUCACUCUGAAGCCAGAACAACAUGGAACCUGUAUUUUGGAUUAAAUUGCUUAAAAGAAUAAUCCCCACUUUCUUUUUUUUC